GUCAGGGCAUGUGUCACAGCGGGGGGACCUUGAAGUCCAGGCUCAUGUCACAGCGGGGGGACCUUAGCCAUGCCGGGGGCUGUGCAGCUGUUGAGGGCACUUGCUGUCCACGAGACACAGACACUAAUGGGUAGGUGGGUGUCGUACACAGCAGAGGGUCUCACAGAGCGAGCGAGGGCCUCAGCUGGGAUGCACGUGACGUGGCCUUGGACGCUGGAGAGACCACGUUAUGUCGGUGGCACCGGCAAGCUACACACACUGAGCCUCGGGUUCCUUCUUCACAUUCCAAGUGGCGACUGGGUCUUCCCGACGGUGAUGGUCAAGUUCUGGGAGUCGAGCAGACUGAGGGGCGGCCUGAGCUGACUGUGCUGCGAGCCUGUUUCUGGAAGAAAUCAGUGUUGAGCCCACAAUGGAACGAAGAGCCUGCAUUAUCCAAACCACCGCGGCCCCCUGGAACCGAGGGCUGGGUGAGGCGGCGCAUCUCGUCCCUCUGCUGCCUCCCGACGUCAGCACCCCUGCACCCACGCCUUUGGACUCAGGGUGGAACUCACCCUCCCCUCCCCCACCCUCAGCUCCCAGGCCUUGGAACACAGACUCUGUGACACCCUGGGGUCCCGGGAUCUCCAAGCUGCAGACGGCAGAUCUGGGACGUCCCGGCUUCCAUGACUGUGUCCCACAGCCAGCGGAGGCGGAGCCCGAGCCCAGCCGCCAGCGGCCCGUGUCACAGCACGUGCGCACUUCGUUUGACUGCCAGGUCCCACAGCCAGCGGAGGCGGAGCCCGAGCCCAGCCGCCAGCGGCCCGUGUCAGCACGUGCAGCAGGAAGCACACUGCUCCCCCAAAGCAGAGGAAAUGAGCCCACAGCACGUGACGCGCAGCCAGGACUCGAGUGCAGAGUUCCACGGUUUCCAGUCUCAGUAGUAUUUCACAUCCACCAUGUAUUUUUUAUUAAGAGCAAGGAAGUA